UACGAAGGGGGCUAGCGUUGCUCGGAAUUACUGGGCGUAAAGGGCGCGUAGGCGGACAGUUUAGUCAGAGGUAAAAGCCCAGGGCUCAACCUUGGAACUGCCUUUGAUACUGACUGUCCUGAGUUCGGGAGAGGUGAGUGGAAUGCCGAGUGUAGAGGUGAAAUUCGUAGAUAUUCGGCGGAACACCAGUGGCGAAGGCGACUCACUGGCCCGAUACUGACGCUGAGGCGCGAAAGCGUGGGGAGCAAACAGG
rnacentral:rRNA from 1 species